rnacentral:siRNA from 1 species
GGAGUGCAUCAAGCGGUGUUGAA